GACGAACGCUGGCGGCGUGCUUAACACAUGCAAGUAGGACGCAGUUGCGAACGGGAGAGUAACGCGUAGGUAACUACCUAUUAGAGGGGGAUAACUAUUGGAAACGAUAGCUAAUACCGCCUACUAGUCGAUGGACCUGCGUUGUAUUAGCUAGUAGGUAGGGUAAUGGCCUACCUCGGCAACGAUACAUAGCCGAGCUGAGAGGGGGAUCGGCCAAACUGGGAAUGGGAGACGGCCCAGACUCCUACGGGAGGCAGCAGUAGGGAAUCUUCGGAAAUGGGGGGAACCCUGACCGAGCAACGCCGCGUGAGUGAAGAAGGUUAUCGGAUCGUAAAGCUCUGUUGUUAAGGAAGCGGUACUUAAACAGAAAGGGACGGCUAACUACGUGCCAGCAGCCGCGGUAAUUC
rnacentral:rRNA from 1 species